AGUAAUUUUAGUUUAAUAAAGAAUAAUGAUUUGUCUAGUCAUAGGUGGUGUUUAAACCAUAUUACUA
rnacentral:tRNA from 1 species